AGAGGGGCAUAUAAAGCUUUAAAAUGUUAUUGGUAGUUAUCAAGUUUUAAAGUUAUAGGGUCAGGUACUCGCAAGUUAUCUAUUUAUAAAGUAAUAUUGUAUACUUAUUUCUUGUCUCAGAGUUUGAAGUAUUUUGUUACAUGGAAGUGUGUGAAGUGCACAAGGUGACCAUCAGGGUUUUAGGCAAGAAGAGGAGACAAAAUACCUUGGAUUAUGUACUCUUCUACUAUUUGGGGAAGUACAUUUUGUGAUGAAGCAAAGUUUCAGUCAUGGAUGCACAUUUUAGAAAGUGCUACAAAAGAUACUCCUUUAUCAAUUCAUUCUGCAGCAAGGAAGUGUAUCACGGCCAUCUCCUGAGUAAUCGAUAUUAUAUGGGGGCUGAUGAGAUUUAGGAGAUCUAGUACAAAGGUGUGUAGAGUGUGGGGGAGAAUGGAAUGUUACCACCAAGAAUAGAGGGAAUGAGCUGAGAAAUGCCUCUCUUUUUUUUUUUCCCAUCAACAAUUGCCCAAUUUUGGAAUAACAUUCAAAAAUAGACAAACCCCAAUUAGUAAGUAAUAUGUUCAACAAAAAAGAAGAAGGCAAUGAAGCCAUAUUACAAUUGUUUUCUUUGGGCCAUUCAAUUCUAAUUCACAUAUAGAGGCUUAAAUGUUUCAUGGGCAUGGGAGAGUGCAAUGUAUGAGAAGAGAGUGCAAAGUAUGAGAAGCGACCACCAGUAGAUAUGCAGAUGUUACAAAUACUUUGGCUUCAUUUAUUGGUUUAAGUAACCAUCACAAUCCCUUUGGAACUAAAAUCAAGAUAUGCUUGUGAUUUUUAUUUUGAGUAUUGGACACAGACACAAUCCCUUUUGUUUGUUUGAUUUUCAAAUCCAUACUUUUUGUUGUUUCUUUGCAUAAAGUCUUUGAUAGCUCUGUUUUGUUGUAGGAAUUGGAAUUAUUCUUUUUGGGUUAUUUUUAUGCUCCUCAUCUUGUAUAGGAGUUGAAUAAGUUGCUGCUUUUUGUUGAUUCUAAUGUUUGUAAGUGGGUUUUCAACAUAUAAUACAUAGUAGUGAAGUCCACUGUAGGAAUUGAAAUUCUUUUGUUUCUAUAUGGUCUGUAUAGCAAGGAUUCUGAACUGCCUAGGAAUUCAAAUGCCUAUACUAUUUCCUGAGUUCGUGGCUUCAGCCUUCCUGCACAUUCAGCAACUUAUUUUCCAAGUACAUGAACCAAAUAAGCUUUGGGUUCUGGUAGACUGGUACUGCAUAUCUCAUCUCAACAGUCUAAGCCUAUUGGAGAAGAGUUGUCUAUACUGUUGAAAAUUGUUGGGCAAGGAUGCACCUCAAAAUGGAAUGCACUGAACCUCUUUCAUCAACAGGUUCGUCUUGGUUUGCCAUCCAAACAACUGUGGGAGUUGAGGACUUGUUUAACCAUAUGGAAAAGCAAAAGGCAUUAUCUCCAACAGGGAAACCCUGGCAGAGAAUUCACCAUUUGCUGAAACCAAUUUGUCAGUUGGUUUCUCAACUGAUAGAGAUGUGCCUCUAAGAAUGUCUAGUGUACUAGAUGAAGAUGGAGGAAGAGUUGUAGCAGACAUAGAACAAGGAAGAAAAUUGAGAUAUCCAUAAGAAAUGCAAGAGGUAUUGCACGAUUGAGAUCUUUCUACUUGUUAAAUAUUCUUCAUUAUAUAUAAUUGAAGAAGGAAAUGUUCUGCCCA